GGUUGCGAUCAUACCAGCACUAAUGCACCGGAUCCCAUCAGAACUCCGCAGUUAAGCGUGCUUGAGCGAGAGUAGUACUAGGAUGGGUGACCCCCUGGGAAGUCCUCGUGUUGCAACCC
rnacentral:rRNA from 1 species